GAUGAACGCUGGCGGCGUGCUUAACACAUGCAAGUCGAACGGAAAGGCUCCUGCUUGCAGGGGUACUCGAGUGGCGAACGGGUGAGUAACACGUGGGUGAUCUGCCCUGCACUUCGGGAUAAGCCUGGGAAACUGGGUCUAAUACCGGAUAGGACCACAUUUUGGAUGGUGUGGUGGAAAGUUUUUCGGUGUGGGAUGAGCUCGCGGCCUAUCAGCUUGUUGGUGGGGUAAUGGCCUACCAAGGCGUCGACGGGUAGCCGGCCCGAGAGGGUGUACGGCCACAUUGGGACUGAGAUACGGCCCAGACUCCUACGGGAGGCAGCAGUGGGGAAUAUUGCACAAUGGGCGCAAGCCUGAUGCAGCGACGCCGCGUGGGGGAUGACGGCCUUCGGGUUGUAAACUCCUUUCGCUAGGGACGAAGCGCAAGUGACGGUACCUGGAGAAGAAGCACCGGCUAACUACGUG
rnacentral:rRNA from 1 species